rnacentral:sRNA from 1 species
CUUUAGCCCUGAUGGAAGUGGAAAUCCUCUUGUGCUGAAUUCAGCAUAAGAGAUUGCAACGGACAGCAGGAGCAAUA